rnacentral:rRNA from 1 species
GUGGGGAAUAUUGCACAAUGGGGGAAACCCUGAUGCAGCGACGCCGCGUGAGUGAAGAAGUAUUUCGGUAUGUAAAGCUCUAUCAGCAGGGAAGAAGAUGACGGUACCUGAGUAAGAAGCCCCGGCUAACUACGUGCCAGCAGCCGCGGUAAUACGUAGGGGGCGAGCGUUAUCCGGAUUUACUGGGUGUAAAGGGAGCGUAGACGGCGAUGCAAGUCUGGAGUGAAAACCCAGGGCUCAACCCUGGGAUUGCUUUGGAAACUGUAUAGCUGGAGUGCAGGAGAGGCAGGCGGAAUUCCUAGUGUAGCGGUGAAAUGCGUAGAUAUUAGGAGGAACACCAGUGGCGAAGGCGGCCUGCUGGACUGAGACUGACGUUGAGGCUCGAAGGCGUGGGGAGCAAACAGG